rnacentral:rRNA from 1 species
UACGGAGGGUGCGAGCGUUGUCCGGAAUCACUGGGCGUAAAGGGCGCGUAGGCGGCCUGAUAAGUAGGGGGUGAAAUCCUGCGGCUUAACCGCAGGGCUGCCCUCUAAACUGUCAGGCUAGAGCACAGUAGAGGCAGGUGGAAUUCCCGGUGUAGCGGUGGAAUGCGUAGAGAUCGGGAAGAACAUCAGUGGCGAAGGCGGCCUGCUGGGCUGUUGCUGACGCUGAGGCGCGACAGCGUGGGGAGCAAACAGG